UACAGAGGUGCCAAGCGUUAGGCGGAAUCACUGGGCUUAAAGCGCGUGUAGGUGGGUCGUUAAGUGUCCGCGUGAAAUCCCACGGCUCAACCGUGGAACUGCCGGGCAUACUGGCGAUCUUGAGGCAUUCAGGGGCGAGCGGAACAAAUGGUGGAGCGGUGAAAUGCGUAGAUAUCAUUUGGAACGCCAAUGGUGAAAACAGGUUGCUGGGAGUGUGCUGACGCUGAGACACGAAAGCCAGGGGAGCGAACGGG
rnacentral:rRNA from 1 species